UCGAGAAUCAUUCGCAAUGGGGGAAACCCUGACGGUGCGACGCCGCGUGGAGGAUGACGGUCUUCGGAUUGUAAACUCCUGUCAUCGAAGAGUAAGGCUGUUAUGUGAAUAGCAUAACAGAUUGAUAGUAUUCGAAGAGGAAGGGACGGCUAACUUCGUGCCAGCAGCCGCGGUAAUACGAAGGUCCCAAGCGUUGUUCGGAAUCACUGGGCGUAAAGGGAGCGUAGGCGGCGAGGUAAGUCAGAUGUGAAAUUCCGGGGCUCAACCUCGGAACUGCAUCCGAUACUGCCUUGCUAGAGUAGUGGAGGGGCAUCUGGAAUUCACGGUGUAGCAGUGAAAUGCGUAGAGAUCGUGAGGAACACUAGUGGCGAAGGCGAGAUGCUGGACACUUACUGACGCUGAGGCUCGAAGGCCAGGGUAGCGAAAGGG
rnacentral:rRNA from 1 species